GGUUAAGUUACUAAGGGCACACGGUGGAUGCCUUGGCGCUAGGAGCCGAUGAAGGACGCAGCGAACUGCGAUAAGCCUCGGGGAGCGGUAAGCACGCGUUGAUCCGGGGAUCUCCGAAUGGGGGAACCCACCAUCCGUAAUGGGAUGGUAUCCGUCACUGAAUCCAUAGGUGGCGAGAAGGCACACCCGGUGAACUGAAACAUCUAAGUAGCCGGAGGAAGAGAAAACAACAGUGAUUCCGUCAGUAGUGGCGAGCGAACGCGGAAGAGCCUAAACCGCAGGGUUUACUCUGCGGGGUCGUGGGACGUCUCACGUGGAGUUACAAAAGACACCUGUAGGUGAACGGUCUGGGAAGGCCGACCAGAGAGCGUGACAGUCGCGUAACCCAAACAGGUGUCUCUCCGAGACGGAUCCCGAGUAGCACGGGACACGUGAAAUCCCGUGUGAAUCUGGCAGGACCAUCUGCUAAGGCUAAAUACUCCCUAGCGACCGAUAGCGAACCAGUACCGUGAGGGAAAGGUGAAAAGCACCCCGGGAGGGGAGUGAAAUAGUACCUGAAACCGUGUGCUUACAAAUAGUCGGAGCCCGUUACAUGGGUGACGGCGUGCCUUUUGUAGAAUGAACCGGCGAGUUACGGUAGCGUGCGAGGUUAAGUCGAAGAGACGGAGCCGCAGCGAAAGCGAGUCUGAACAGGGCGAGAGUACGUUGCCGUAGACCCGAAACCGUGUGAUCUAGCCAUGUCCAGGGUGAAGGUAGGGUAACACCUACUGGAGGCCCGAACCCACGCACGUUGAAAAGUGCGGGGAUGAGGUGUGGCUAGCGGUGAAAUUCCAAUCGAACUCGGAGAUAGCUGGUUCUCCCCGAAAUAGCUUUAGGGCUAGCCUCGGAAUGAGAGUCUUGGAGGUAGAGCACUGAUUGGGCUAGGGGCCCUCAUCGGGUUACCGAACUCAGUCAAACUCCGAAUGCCAACGACUUAUGUCCGGGAGUCAGACGAUGAGUGCUAAGAUCCAUCGUCAAAAGGGAAACAGCCCAGACCAUCAGCUAAGGUCCCCAAGUGUACGUUAAGUGGGAAACGAUGUGGAGUUGCCCAGACAACCAGGAUGUUGGCUUAGAAGCAGCCACCAUUUAAAGAGUGCGUAAUAGCUCACUGGUCGAGUGACUCUGCGCGGAAAAUGUAACGGGGCUAAACGUACCACCGAAGCUAUGGCAGUCCUACGGACUGGGUAGGGGAGCGUUCCAAGCAGCGGCGAAGCCGUACCGGAAGGAGCGGUGGAGCGCUUGGAAGUGAGAAUGCCGGUGUAAGUAGCGAAAAGACAAGUGAGAAUCUUGUCCACCGAAAGCCUAAGGGUUCCUGGGGAAGGCUCGUCCUCCCAGGGUUAGUCGGGACCUAAGCUGAGGCCGAAAGGCGUAGGCGAUGGACAACAGGUUGAUAUUCCUGUACCACCUCCAUUCCGCUUGAGCAAUGGCGUGAUGCAGGAGGAUAGGGCGAGCGGCCUGCUGGAUGGCCGUCCAAGCAGCAAGCCUGGUGUGUAGGCAAAUCCGCACACCGUCAAGGGCAAGCUGUGAUGGCGAGGGAAAUGCAAGUACCGAAGUCCCUGAUUUCACACUGCCAAGAAAAGCGUCUAGCGAGGAAUGAGGUGCCCGUACCGCAAACCGACACAGGUAGGCGAGGAGAGAAUCCUAAGGUGCGCGGGAGAACUCUUGCUAAGGAACUCGGCAAAAUGGCCCCGUAACUUCGGGAGAAGGGGCGCCCCGGUAGGGUUAACAGCCCGAGGGGGCCGCAGUGAAAAGGCCCAAGCGACUGUUUAGCAAAAACACAGGUCUCUGCGAAGCCGCAAGGCGAAGUAUAGGGGCUGACGCCUGCCCGGUGCUGGAAGGUUAAGGGGAUGAGUUAGCGCAAGCGAAGCUUUGAACCGAAGCCCCAGUAAACGGCGGCCGUAACUAUAACGGUCCUAAGGUAGCGAAAUUCCUUGUCGGGUAAGUUCCGACCCGCACGAAAGGCGUAACGACUUGGGCGCUGUCUCGGCAAGAGACCCGGUGAAAUCAUAAUACCUGUGAAGAUGCAGGUUACCCGCGACAAGACGGAAAGACCCCAUGGAGCUUUACUGUAGCCUGAUAUUGGACUUUGGUACGAUCUGUACAGAAUAGGUGGGAGCCUGAGAAGCCGGUGCGCCAGCAUCGGUGGAGGCGCCGUUGGGAUACCACCCUGAUCGUAUCGGAGUUCUAACCCGCGGCCCUGAUCGGGUCGGGGAACAGUGUCAGGUGGGCAGUUUGACUGGGGCGGUCGCCUCCUAAAAGGUAACGGAGGCGCCCAAAGGUUCCCUCAGAAUGGUCGGAAAUCAUUCGUAGAGUGUAAAGGCAGAAGGGAGCUUGACUGCGAGACCUACAAGUCGAGCAGGGACGAAAGUCGGGCUUAGUGAUCCGGUGGUUCCGCAUGGAAGGGCCAUCGCUCAACGGAUAAAAGCUACCCUGGGGAUAACAGGCUUAUCUCCCCCAAGAGUCCACAUCGACGGGGAGGUUUGGCACCUCGAUGUCGGCUCAUCGCAUCCUGGGGCUGAAGUAGGUCCCAAGGGUUGGGCUGUUCGCCCAUUAAAGCGGUACGCGAGCUGGGUUCAGAACGUCGUGAGACAGUUCGGUCCCUAUCUGUCGCGGGCGCAGGAAGUUUGAGGAGAGCUGUCCUUAGUACGAGAGGACCGGGAUGGACGCACCGCUGGUGCACCAGUUGUUCCGCCAGGAGCACAGCUGGGUAGCUAUGUGCGGACGGGAUAAGCGCUGAAAGCAUCUAAGCGUGAAGCCCCCUCCAAGAUGAGACUUCCCACAGCGUCAAGCUGGUAAGACCCCUCAAAGACGAUGAGGUUGAUAGGUUCGGUGUGGAAGCGCGGCAACGCGUGGAGCUGACGAAUACUAAUCGGUCGAGGACUUAUCCAC
rnacentral:rRNA from 1 species